rnacentral:lncRNA from 1 species
GGGACAGCGAUGUCCUCAGCUGUCCACAUGAGGUUCAGAGCCCAGCUCACAGUGAUGUCCACAGUGAUGUUUCCAGUGAUGUCUGCGUUUCAUCCCCAGUGAUGUCUACAGUGACAUCCACAGGGAUGCCAGCUUGUCCAUAGUAAUAGUGGACAGUGGUGGCACUCUGGAUAAGAAGAAAAAGCAUGGACACAGAACAUGUCUGGGGGCAUGAGGAUCUUGGCAGUGGGCAGCAUUCAAUUCACCGGACCCAGUGGGAUAAACUUAGAACACAUCGGCACUCAGUGGUCGACGGUCACUGUUUCUGAUCAUCAGUUUCCUACUGUGGACUCAGCUCCAGCAGGACUAGGUGAAGACAGACAUUGGCAGGGAAACUCUGAGAGGGCUCAGUGGGUUGCAGGUGAGACCAAGCGUCAUCAGCCCUGAAGAGCUCCAGAGUGGCAGAGCAGCAAAGAGCCAAGAGCUUCGGUGACCUGCAAGGAUCUGAAGAGACAGUGGAAGAGCUCCAGAGAGGCUGUGGAAGUUGCUGGAAGAGCUCCUGAAAGCUGCCAAGGGGUCUCUGAGCCCUGACUGCAAGGAUCUGAUGGGGUGGCUAAGAUGCUGAAGGAGAGGUAAUACCAAGAGCUCAGAGGCACUGGUACUCAAAGCUCACAGCUGUACUUACUAAGGCAGCUGUAUUUGCUAAGUUCUAUUUUUUUUUUUUUUUUUGAGACACAAUUUUACUAUGCAGUUCAGGCUGAGCUUGAACUUACUUUGUAGCCCAGGCUGGCCUCAGACUUGCAGCAAUCCUCCUGCCUCAGUCUCCAGAGUGUUGGGACUAUGGGCGUGUGCUGCCGUGCCUGGUUUAAAUUCUGAUUUUUAUCUAAAUUGAGAAAAAGAACCUUCAGCCAGUUAGCAACAAGGACCGAGCCUUUCCUGGUGAUUCCCUCACCCUUCUCAGACCAUGGAUCACAGAACAGCCUCCCGUCAUCUGGCACCAUGUGUGACUCUGAGGAAGGGGCUGGUAGUCUGAGGGGAUCUCAAGAAGGAUGUGGGGGGCUAGGACCCCACUGCAGUACUUCCUGCAUUCUGCAUAGAGAUUACAGGGCACAGUCUCUGGAGCAUGGCCUGUGUUUCCUGUGGUGUUUUCACAUUUCAUU